rnacentral:rRNA from 1 species
UCGCUCUUCAACGAGGAAUCCCUAGUAAGCACAAGUCAUCAGCUUGUGUUGAUUACGUCCCUGCCCUUUGUACACACCGCCCGUCGCUACUACCGAUUGAAUGGCUUAGUGAGACCUUCGGAUUGGCAUUCGGAGGUUGGCAACAACCUCUGUUUGCUGAAAAGUUGGUCAAACUUGGUCAUUUAGAGGAAGUAAAAGUCGUAACAAGGUUUCCGUAGGUGAACCUGCGGAAGGAUCAUUAAUGAUUUUUUUAAAGCAAAACCUUUUUUUUAAAAAAAGGUUUUGCGAAUAUAUUUAAAACCCCAUUCUUUUAAAAAUAAAUUUCUUAAUUCAUAUUUUAUGAAUAAAAAAAGAUCACUUUCAACAACGGAUCUCUUGGCUCUCGCAUCGAUGAAGAACGCAGCGAAAUGCGAUAAGUAGUGUGAAUUGCAGAUGUAACGUGAAUCAUCGAAUCUUUGAACGCAAAUUGCAUUCCUUGGUAUUCCGAGGGGUAUGCCUAUUUGAGUGUCAUUUACACCAUCAAACCUCGGUUUGGAAUUGGGCCUCUGCAGGCGGCCUGAAAUGGAGAGCUCUUGGAAAGCGUGAUAAAUCAUUGCUUUUGCUGGGCUUCGCACCUGGUGCAAAUCCACUCUUGAUCUCAAAUUAGGCAAGACUACCCGCUGAACUUAAGCAUAUCAAUAAGCGGAGGAAAAGAAACUAACAAGGAUUCCCCUAGUAACUGCGAGUGAAGCGGGAAGAGCUCAAAUUUAAAAUCUCAGCACUUUGUGCUGCGAGUUGUAGUUUAUAGAGGCGUUACCCUGUGCACUCCUGCCACAAGUCCCUUGGAAAGGGGCAUCAGAGAGGGUGAUAAUCCCGUACCUGGGCAGGAGCAGCGCUAUUGUGGUGCGUUUUCUAAGAGUCGGGUUGUUUGGGAUUGCAACCCAAAGUGGGUGGUAUAUUUCAUCUAAAGCUAAAUAUUGGCGAGAGACCGAUAGCGAACAAGUACCGUGAGGGAAAGAUGAAAAGCACUUUGAAAAGAGAGUAAAAUAGUACGUGAAAUUGUUAAAAGGGAAACGAUUGAAGUCAGUUAUGCGUGUGUGAGAUUAGCUCUCGGGCGACGUCUCUGCAAGCAGGUCAGCAUCACUUUGCUGUGCCGGAAACGGCCGCUGGGAAUGUAGGUUCUACUGUUAUAGCCCAGCGGACAUACGGCGUGGUGGAGUGAGGAACGCAGCCAUGGCGGCAGAAAUGCGGCCCACCAAAGGAGGUAACGGCGCGGGUUUUGUAGGUUGUAGACAGCAUGCUGACUGCAGCCGGCACGGCCACCCAAGUGCCUCUGGCGGCCUUUGGCUUAGGAUGCUGACGCAAUGACUUUAAACGUCCCGUCUUGAAACACGGACCAAGGAGUCUAACAUGUGUGCGAGUGUU